rnacentral:rRNA from 1 species
GAUGAACGCUGGCGGCGUGCCUAACACAUGCAAGUCGAACGAAGCACCUUACCUGAUUCUUCGGAUGAAAGUUUGGUGACUGAGUGGCGGACGGGUGAGUAACGCGUGGGUAACCUGCCCUGUACAGGGGGAUAACAGCUGGAAACGGCUGCUAAUACCGCAUAAGCGCACGAGGAGACAUCUCCUUGUGUGAAAAACUCCGGUGGUACGGGAUGGGCCCGCGUCUGAUUAGCUGGUUGGCAGGGUAACGGCCUACCAAGGCAACGAUCAGUAGCCGGUCUGAGAGGAUGAACGGCCACAUUGGAACUGAGACACGGUCCAAACUCCUACGGGAGGCAGCAGUGGGGAAUAUUGCACAAUGGGGGAAACCCUGAUGCAGCAACGCCGCGUGAGUGAAGAAGUAUUUCGGUAUGUAAAGCUCUAUCAGCAGGGAAGAUAAUGACGGUACCUGACGAAGAAGCUCCGGCUAAAUACGUG